rnacentral:rRNA from 1 species
AUUGAACGCUGGCGGCAGGCUUAACACAUGCAAGUCGAGCGGAGAUGAGGUGCUUGCACCUUAUCUUAGCGGCGGACGGGUGAGUAAUGCUUAGGAAUCUGCCUAUUAGUGGGGGACAACAUUCCGAAAGGAAUGCUAAUACCGCAUACGCCCUACGGGGGAAAGCAGGGGAUCUUCGGACCUUGCGCUAAUAGACGAGCCUAAGUCGGAUUAGCUAGUUGGUGGGGUAAAGGCCUACCACGGCGACGAUCUGUAGCGGGUCUGAGAGGAUGAUCCGCCACACUGGGACGGAGACCCGGCCCGGACUCCUACGGGAGGCAGCAGUGGGGAAUAUUGGACAAUGGGCGGAAGCCUGAUCCAGCCAUGCCGCGUGUGUGAAGAAGGCCUUUUGGUUGUAAAGCACUUUAAGCGAGGAGGAGGCUACCUGGAUUAAUACUCUAGGAUAGUGGACGUUACUCGCAGAAUAAGCAACGGCUAACUCUGUGCCAGCCGCCGCCGUAAUAC